UGGAGAGUUUGAUCCUGGCUCAGGACGAACGCUGGCGGCGUGCUUAACACAUGCAAGUCGAACGGAAAGGCCCUUUCGGGGGUACUCGAGUGGCGAACGGGUGAGUAACACGUGGGUGAUCUGCCCUGCACUUUGGGAUAAGCCUGGGAAACUGGGUCUAAUACCGGAUAUACCUCGCUGGUCGCAUGGCCUGGUGGGGGAAAGCUUUUGCGGUGUGGGAUGGGCCCGCGGCCUAUCAGCUUGUUGGUGAGGUUAUGGCUUACCAAGGCGACGACGGGUAGCCGGCCUGAGAGGGUGACCGGCCACACUGGGACUGAGAUACGGCCCAGACUCCUACGGGAGGCAGCAGUGGGGAAUAUUGCACAAUGGGCGCAAGCCUGAUGCAGCGACGCCGCGUGGGGGAUGACGGCCUUCGGGUUGUAAACCUCUUUCAGUGCCGACGAAGCGUAAGUGACGGUAGGCACAGAAGAAGGACCGGCCAACUACGUGCCAGCAGCCGCGGUA
rnacentral:rRNA from 1 species